CGCGUAGGCGGCUCUGUAAGUCGAAUGUGAAAGCCCCGGGCUUAACCUGGGAAUUGCGUUCGAUACUGCGGAGCUAGAGUAUGGUAGAGGGAAGUGGAAUUUCCGGUGUAGCGGUGAAAUGCGUAGAUAUCGGAAGGAACACCAGUGGCGAAGGCGACUUCCUGGGCCAAUACUGACGCUGAGGUGCGAAAGCGUGGGGAGCAAACA
rnacentral:rRNA from 1 species